CUUCCAUUGUAACCUCUAUGAUACACUCAUCAUUCUAAGUGAGCUCUCGAAUGUCAAGAACAUUCCUGAAAGACGCACACAUCCAUCCUGGCAGAUAAUACCUAAGCAAACAAAUAUAUGUUUUUAAUUCCCAUCAAAUAGGGCAAUUUAAAGGUGAAAUAAGAGAUAGCAGUGCCAUUCACAGAAAAUCAAUCACUCUCAAUAUGCUUGCUAUCACUCCAAGGAUGUUUGCCAGACAAAUUAGGAAAUUAAAAAGGCAUUCUGGCUUAUUUGCCAUUAUUAAACAGUACCCUUAUUCCAGUCUUUACCUAACGAUUACUGAUAAGAGCAGAAUAUUUAUAGGAGAGAGGCACAGGUAAGAGUUGGGCAGCAGCACUGCAGGCAACAGCUGAGAGAACUUUCACUUGUCCCAGAGUAGCGUCUUUCGAAACGUUUUAAGGGAAGCAUCAUGGCUUUGCUGAUGGCUGGACUGUGGCAGCUAGCUACUGUGGUGAUGAUCUUGUCUCACAUCUCAGCAUCACUUCCUUCUCUUGGGAGGCACCAGAGGCAAAUCGAGCUCAAAUUGAUGCAUGAUGCAGGAAUGAGAAGAGAAUAUGAGAAAGCUGCCAAAUUACUACAAAACCUGAUGAACUACAAGCGCAGUGUCUCAUCUGGAGUAAAGGAUGAAUCUGGCUUCACUGAUAAAAACACAGAUGACUUGUGGACUUCAGAAGAAAAACUCAUUAAACUGAAGACUUGUUUGCAAUUUGUACAGAACCUUGAUGCAAGUUUUUCAGGCAAUGAUGCAGAGGAAGCCACUCAGAUAAUGAGCCGCUCGGUUUGCCAACUGAUUGCAGAAAUAAAUGAAGCAGUAUCUGGAGCAACAGUAGAUGAAAAUCAGGAAUGAAGCAUCCAGCUCUGUGAGGAUCUUCAAAAAAAUAAAUUGCAACUUCUGUUUUUCAUGUGUGGAUUAAAUGAUUGGGGAAAACAAACUGUGGAAAUAAGUUAGUAAGGAUUGCAUAAAUCAAAAGGAAUGGGACUUAGAAUGAAAGACUCUGGCAUUUAUACGCCUUAUGGUAGAGUCUAAAAUUAUUUAUCUUCCUCUUGUCUUCAUCUUCUCCAAAAUCAAAUAAAGAAACUAUAGCACAGC
rnacentral:lncRNA from 1 species